AUUGAACGCUAGCGGGAUGCCUUACACAUGCAAGUCGAACGGCAGCACGGACUUCGGUCUGGUGGCGAGUGGCGAACGGGUGAGUAAUGUAUCGGAACGUGCCCAGUAGCGGGGGAUAACUACGCGAAAGCGUAGCUAAUACCGCAUACGCCCUACGGGGGAAAGCAGGGGAUCGCAAGACCUUGCACUAUUGGAGCGGCCGAUAUCGGAUUAGCUAGUUGGUGGGGUAACGGCUCACCAAGGCGACGAUCCGUAGCUGGUUUGAGAGGACGACCAGCCACACUGGGACUGAGACACGGCCCAGACUCCUACGGGAGGCAGCAGUGGGGAAUUUUGGACAAUGGGGGAAACCCUGAUCCAGCCAUCCCGCGUGUGCGAUGAAGGCCUUCGGGUUGUAAAGCACUUUUGGCAGGAAAGAAACGUCAUGGGCUAAUACCCCGUGAAACUGACGGUACCUGCAGAAUAAGCACCGCUAACUAAC
rnacentral:rRNA from 1 species